UNCUUCCGUGGUGUUGGGUAGCAUCGGC
rnacentral:piRNA from 1 species